CACGAGCAGUCCAGGCAGCAACGAGGCUGAACGACAGCUAAUAAUUUACCUUGCUUUAUGCAGAACGCUGGUGGUGGAAGCAGGCAAGGUCUGCGGGAUCACGUCUUAAGCCGCGACACUUCGUUGCCACGUCUCUGGCCUACCGUCGCUCGUUGGGUUUCAGCACGUGUCUUCGGAAGCGGUCAGCGCGACUAGGAAUCAAGUGGGCGGAACCGGGAACAACGCCCCCUGAAAUACCGUGACGUCACAGCUCUGCUAUAAAACCACCGCUCCAUCGAGGAUCAGCCGUCAUUUCACGAGCAGUCCAGGCAGCAACGAGGCUGAACGACAGCUAAUAAUUUACCUUGCUUUAUGCAGAACGCUGGUGGUGGAAGCAGGCAAGGUCUGCGGGAUCACGUCUUAAGCCGCGACACUUCGUUGCCACGUCUCUGGCCUACCGUCGCUCGUUGGGUUUCAGCACGUGUCUUCGGAAGCGGUCAGCGCGACUAGGAAUCAAGUGGGCGGAACCGGGAACAACGCCCCCUGAAAUACCGUGACGUCACAGCUCUGCUAUAAAACCACCGCUCCAUCGAGGAUCAGCCGUCAUUUCACGAGCAGUCCAGGCAGCAACGAGGCUGAACGACAGCUAAUAAUUUACCUUGCUUUAUGCAGGUUACUGUCUGGAAUCGUGGGGUGUGACGUACAACACUUAUCUAAAAACUCUUGAACGACUUCAAAAGCGUACACUGAAAAUCAUAAGCCAAGGUGAAUCAGUAGGUAGUAUUUUCCAAUCACAACGCAUUCUCUCGGUUCCGAUGUUGCGCGACUACAAAAUUGCCGUUUCAGUAAAUAACAUAAUUAAUAGAAAUUCACCUUUGCCUGCUGAUCUUUUUUCAAUUCCUAAACGCAAUACGCGACAUGCUUCGAAUGGUAAUUUCAAUCUGCCCAAAUGUUUUAAUGUUUACGGAGAAAGACUAAUACAAUUUAAUGGAACAAAAAUAUGGAACACGGUCCCCCUAGAGAUUAAAACGGCACGUAAUUUCAGCAUGGCAUGUAAAUCAUUUUUUCUGUGGAGUCAAGACAUGUAAGCAUGUGUGUGU